rnacentral:rRNA from 1 species
GAUUGAACGCUGGCGGCAGGCCUAACACAUGCAAGUCGAACGGUAACCGGAAGCAGCUUGCUUCUUUGCUGACGAGUGGCGGACGGGUGAGUAAUGUCUGGGAAACUGCCUGAUGGAGGGGGAUAACUACUGGAAACGGUAGCUAAUACCGCAUAACGUCGCAAGACCAAAGAGGGGGACCUUCGGGCCUCUUGCCAUCGGAUGUGCCCAGAUGGGAUUAGCUAGUAGGUGGGGUAACGGCUCACCUAGGCGACGAUCCCUAGCUGGUCUGAGAGGAUGACCAGCCACACUGGAACUGAGACACGGUCCAGACUCCUACGGGAGGCAGCAGUGGGGAAUAUUGCACAAUGGGCGCAAGCCUGAUGCAGCCAUGCCGCGUGUAUGAAGAAGGCCUUCGGGUUGUAAAGUACUUUCAGCGGGGAGGAAGGGAGUAAAGUUAAUACCUUUGCUCAUUGACGUUACCCGCAGAAGAAGCACCGGCUAACUCCGUG